AUGAACGUACGAUCGUUAACCACUCAAACAUCUUCAUCUCUAGAAGGAACCUCCUCCUAUCAUGACACCCAUGUUACUUCAUCCGGUGAAACUACCUCAUCCCAUGACACCCGUGUCAACUCCUCUACUGUUGGCAAAUCAACAAAGACCGAAGGAUCUCAGUUCAGUGAAUAUACUCCUGUCUACCACAGUGAAAAAUCUCACCUGUUUGAGCAAAGUCAUCAGAAAUUCGAUUUUGAUACUGGUAGUAUUGAAGAGGACAUUUGUAGGAGGAUAGAAGAUAAAAUUUCGAAGGUAAACCAAGGCAAGCUCUUGGAAUCAUCAAGCUGCAUUGCCGAUGCCAUUAAAAUUGUCGAUAAUCUCCUGAUAAAAUCGUCUGUAGGAAGAAGUGAGCCAGAUUUAACGAGGAGUCCGUUGAGCUCAACACAAAAUGUUGUCAGCGAUUUGUUGUCUCAAAGUAAGGAUACAAGUAAAAGCGCUGAAAAUGUUGUCUGGAAAACUCCUGACAGCUCGGUUCUGAAGGAGAAAGAAGAACCAAAGCUAUCAACCCUACCGAAGACAAGUAAAAGCGUUUGGUUUUCAGAGCCGUCUUCCUCAACAAAAUCCGUUCCAAAAGAGAUGAGUGAAAAUUCAGCUAUAAACUCCUCAACCUCCACAACUAUAACCACAUCAGCACCGUCUGUGAAUGAGGCAUCGCUCUUCCACACAACGAUGGGUUUCGCACCAUAUCCAUCCGUUGUUCAUUACUCUCCUUUUCCUCCUUCGUUCAUACCUCCAUCAUCAAUGUAUUUCAGUCCAUAUUACUCCCCUCCGUUUUCAUCUCAGUCUCCGCUGAUGUCUCCAUACCCUCCGUCUGUUUCAAUCAACUCUCCUCCUCCGACCAGUUGCUACCCGAAUAUUCCAUAUUAUGUUCCACACUUACCUUCCUACCCAGCCCCAUUUUCUCCUCCCAUCCUCUCACCAGAAUCUCAAAGAUCUCAUAAAGUUGAACCAGUAUCAAGUACUAAAGGAAUUUAUAAGUCUACACCCGAUAUUCAUUCCGAGUCGACCAAUGUCCCUCUCAGUCCAGGCAGCCGUUCCAAAUCAACAUGGGAUAUCAGGAGUCCACAGAAAACAAAACGAAUACAAGUGACAAUUUAUCCGAUAGUGGCACUUGGAAAUUUGAUAGUAAAAUUGUGA
rnacentral:lncRNA from 1 species